rnacentral:rRNA from 1 species
GACGAACGCUGGCGGCGUGCCUAAUACAUGCAAGUUGAGCGCUGAAGGUUGGUACUUGUACCGACUGGAUGAGCAGCGAACGGGUGAGUAACGCGUGGGGAAUCUGCCUUUGAGCGGGGGACAACAUUUGGAAACGAAUGCUAAUACCGCAUAAAAACUUUAAACACAAGUUUUAAGUUUGAAACAUGCAAUUGCAUCACUCAAAGAUGAUCCCGCGUUGUAUUAGCUAGUUGGUGAGGUAAAGGCUCACCAAGGCGAUGAUACAUAGCCGACCUGAGAGGGUGAUCGGCCACAUUGGGACUGAGACACGGCCCAAACUCCUACGGGAGGCAGCAGUAGGGAAUCUUCGGCAAUGGACGAAAGUCUGACCGAGCAACGCCGCGUGAGUGAAGAAGGUUUUCGGAUCGUAAAACUCUGUUGGCAGAGAAGAACGUUGGUGAGAGUGGAAAGCUCAUCAAGUGACGGUAACUACCCAGAAAGGGACGGCUAACUACGUG